GUCCAGUCUAACGGAGGAGACACGACUUCUAGUCUGAAAGGAGGAUGGCCUUUCCCACAACAGGUGAACUGUGGUUAAAGACAAGGCAGGAUCACUGCUGAGACCCCAAAAAUAAAAUCGGCAAGUCCACGACCCAAAGCUACUUAGCGCUUCUCCUGUUAGAGGACAAGAACAACUGGUGACCCUAGCAGACGGUCCCAUGCCCAGGUGUCCUGGACAGAACUCAGGCUUUCAUGACUUUGCGCUGUUGGAGUGGAUGGUUCUGGAGCCCCCAGGGUCUGCAUGAACUAUAAAAAUAUGCACUCGUGGGCAGUGACCUCAAACCUGGCACUCCCAGCUGUGCGACUCUGGUGGGAACACCAGUAUCUACUCCCAGAAGAGUCGGGAGUCUGAGUGAGAUCAUGUUUGUAAAGAAUUCGGUGAGCACUCAACAGAGGAGCUGGGGCAGACGUUGGGGUAGAGCAGUUACGCCACCCCUGGAAUCCCACGUCGGAAUGGAAUGCCUAGGACUGAACAAAGCCUCUGCUUCCGAGCUGGCGUCGUGCUAAUGUGGCCCCUGGGAGGCAGCAGAUGUUGGCUCAGGUACGUAGGUCCCUGCCACUCAUGUGGGAGUCUGGAUGG